rnacentral:sRNA from 1 species
CUUUCUCUUUGGCUGGGUAAGGCGAACUUUCCCAAGUCAUUGUCGACAUUGCAGUGGGUUGGAGUUCCCGUGGACGGAGUCGUCAAACACGAGACGGCAUUAUUUUUAUCCCGAACGCAUGGAUGCUAUUUGACCGACUCCGCCAGCCUUGACGCCGCCUCUGAAGCUACCAUGUGGCUUGAUCGAUGCACGUCAACCACAGCAAGCAGCGAGCCUUGUCUGGGACCGUUUACAGCAACGACCGGGAUCCUUCAGGGAUCACAUUGACAACUGGCGCAAUUGCAGGUACUGAUGCACACCGUAGCGAGUUCGGAUAUCCGACACUCCUGGACAAAGUCCUUUGGGCUGUAAAUUAUCGCAAGCAAUGCCA